rnacentral:rRNA from 1 species
GACGUAGGGGGCAAGCAGUUGUUCGGAAUUAUUGGCGUAAAGCGCUCGUAGGCGGGAUUGGAAGUCCGUGUUGAAAGACCUCGGCUACAACCGUGAGGGACCGGCUCGGGAUACUUCUAAUUCUUGAGGCAAUCAGAGGAUGAGUGGAAUUCCCGGUGUAGCGGUGAAAUGACGUAGAUAUCGGGAGGAACACCAGUGGCGAAGGCGAUCAUCUGGGGUUGUUCCUGACGCUGAGGAGCGAAAGCUAGGGAGCAAACAGGG